UACGUAGGGUGCGAGCGUUGUCCGGAAUUAUUGGGCGUAAAGAGCUCGUAGGUGGUUUGUUACGUCUGCUGUGAAAACCUAGGGCUUAACCCUGGGCCUGCAGUGGAUACGGGCAGACUAGAGGUAGGUAGGGGAGAAUGGAAUUCCCGGUGUAGCGGUGAAAUGCGCAGAUAUCGGGAGGAACACCGGUGGCGAAGGCGGUUCUCUGGGCCUUACCUGGCACUGAGGAGCGAAAGCGUGGGGAGCGAACAGG
rnacentral:rRNA from 1 species